GAUGAACGCUGGCGGCGUGCCUAAUACAUGCAAGUCGAGCGAACAGGUGAGGAGCUUGCUCCUCUGACGUUAGCGGCGGACGGGUGAGUAACACGUGGAUAACCUACCUAUAAGACUGGGAUAACUUCGGGAAACCGGAGCUAAUACCGGAUAAUAUAUUGAACCGCAUGGUUCAAUAGUGAAAGACGGUUUUGCUGUCCCUUAUAGAUGGAUCCGCGCGGCAUUAGCUAGUGGGUAAGUUACCGGCUUACCAAGGCAAGGAUGCGUAUCCGACCGGUGAGAGGGAUCGGCCACACUGGAACUGAGCCACGGUCCAGACUCCUACGGGAGGCAGCGGUAGGGAAUCUUCGGAAAUGGGCGAAGGCCUAACGGAGCAACGCCGCGUGAUUAGUGAGGGUCUUCGGUUCGAAAACCUCUGUAAUUGGGGAAGAAAAAAUGUGUAAGAAACUCUACCCGUCUUGACGGUACCUAAUAAGAAAGCCACGGCUAACUACGUG
rnacentral:rRNA from 1 species